CAGUCGCCGCGGUAAUACGAAGGGGGCUAGCGUUGCUCGGAAUGACUGGGCGUAAAGGGCGCGUAGGCGGUUCGUACAGUUGGAUGUGAAAUUCCUGGGCUUAACCUGGGCAGGUCAGAUAAUACUGGUUAACUCGAGUAUGGGAGAGGGUAGUGGAAUUCCACGUGUAGCAGUGAAAUGCGUAGAGAUGUGGAGGAAUACCGAUGGCGAAGGCAGCCCCCUGGGCCAAUACUGACGCUCAUGCACGAAAGCGUGGGGAGCAAACAGGAUUAGAGACCCCUGUAGUCCCUGUCUCUUAUAA
rnacentral:rRNA from 1 species